rnacentral:rRNA from 1 species
GACGAACGCUGGCGGCGUGCUUAACACAUGCAAGUCGAACGGAAAGGCCCUGCUUUUGUGGGGUGCUCGAGUGGCGAACGGGUGAGUAACACGUGAGUAACCUGCCCUUGACUUUGGGAUAACUUCAGGAAACUGGGGCUAAUACCGGAUAGGAGCUCCUGCUGCAUGGUGGGGGUUGGAAAGUUUCGGCGGUUGGGGAUGGACUCGCGGCUUAUCAGCUUGUUGGUGGGGUAGUGGCUUACCAAGGCUUUGACGGGUAGCCGGCCUGAGAGGGUGACCGGCCACAUUGGGACUGAGAUACGGCCCAGACUCCUACGGGAGGCAGCAGUGGGGAAUAUUGCACAAUGGGCGGAAGCCUGAUGCAGCAACUCCGCGUGCGGGAUGACGGCCGUCGGGUUGUAAACCGCCUUCGCCUGUGACGAAGCGUGAGUGACGGUAAUGGGUAAAGAAGCACCGGAUAACUACGUG